AGAAGCUGCAGAGACAGAGAAAGAAGAUGGGCACACCGAUGUCGGGGGCCGAGGCUCACAGAAGGGACGCCGGUGACAGCUGGGGAAACUGAGGCACACGGAGGCCACUGGUCCCCCCAUCACAGACAGCUGGGAUCAGAGCCCAGACUAAAGCCGGGUGACGCUGGCAGCGGUUGGUCUCACCUCCUCUGGGUCAGGACGUGCUUGAGGAUCCGGCUGAACCUGUCCGAGGCGCUGGACGAGCUGCAGAAGGAACAUAUUGGUGGCAGGAUGCACGAGCCCCUCCUUCCGGAACCAAGGACCGACUUUUGGGAGGUCACGAAGACCCCGAAACAGAACUGGGCAAGCCC